GUACCAGCUGAUUGCGGCGACCAUAAAUUCGCUUAAUGUCUUCAUAUGGCGACGAUCGGAAUCGGGGGAAGGGUUGGGGCCGCGCUGGGACAAAUACUCAACAUUCUCCCCCACUCCCGCUGUCUGUCUCUCUACGGCAUUAAAUCCACGAGGGUGGCAUAAUGCGGCUCACGAUCCGCCGGCUCGAUAUCGGAAGAGGGAUAAACAAGCGAUUUUUGCAGCCAUUUGGUGGCACGUACUUGAUGGAUUGCGAGGAAAUGCAAUCGCACGAGAUAUAUGUAUAAACGAAAAUGCGUAUUUACGUGACUAAACUGAAGCCUUGCAAAAUCCACGUGAGAGCAUCUUUCGACCUUAGGAUAAAUUCGGCAAAACACGAAGGACCAGAUAGCAACGGUGUAAAAACGAAGAGCGUGAAAGGGGCGCGAGGGAAGUGCAAGCGAUUCGUCACAGAUAUUAUUUGAAGGGGCUCCCUCGUGGAGCAGGGGCACAAUACAAGUCAACACGGCUGUCUGCGUAAUGAAGUAGUUUCUGGAGGGUCGGGUCCCACCUAACAUAGCGAAGACGAGGCCAGAGGGGAGCCAGUAAUUGGGGGGUAGGCCACUCUACCCGCAACCCCCAGGGGGACGACGAAAACCCCUAACAUAUGCUCUUCACGGUUCGCUCUUUCUCUGUUCUCCUGCGCCUCUCUUUCUCUCUCUCUCUCUCUCUCCCUCUUUCUUUCUCUGUCUCUAUCAUCGGACUCCUUUUCUAUCAAAACGAGCAAUUUGAUCCGCGUGUAAUAGAUAAAUCUGUAUCUUGAAGUUACAUUAUCAUAAAUCGCAGUUACUUUAUUUUUUUGUAGAAAGUUCGAGAAGAUUAUUAUUCUCUGUACUCAGAGAAAAAAAAACGUGUAUAUGUAGUAAUGACAACUAUAAAAAUUUAACAACUUAA